rnacentral:rRNA from 1 species
AGCAGCCGCGGUAAUUCCAGCUCCAAUAGCGUAUAUUAAAGUUGUUGCAGUUAAAAAGCUCGUAGUUGAAUUUCGGGAUUGACACAUCGGUCGUGCCUUAAGGGGGUAUGAACUGGUGUAGUCAAUUUCUCACCUUCUGGGGAACCGCGAUGCCCUUAAUUGGGUGUCGCGAGGAACCAGGACCUUUACUUUGAAAAAUUAGAGUGUUUAAAGCAGGCAUUUUGCUUGAAUACAUUAGCAUGGAAUAAUAAAAUAGGACGGCAUGAUUCUAUUUUGUUGGUUUUAGGAUCACCGUAAUGAUUAAUAGGGAUAGUUGGGGGCAUUAGUAUUCAAUUGUCAGAGGUGAAAUUCUUGGAUUUAUUGAAGACUAACUACUGCGAAAGCAUUUGCCAAGGAUGUUUUCAUUAAUCAAGAACGAAAGUUAGGGGAUCGAAGACGAUCAGAUACCGUCGUAGUCUUAACCAUAAACUAUGCCGACUAGGAAUCAGACGAUGUUAAUUUUUAAUGUAACUCG